rnacentral:rRNA from 1 species
UACGGAGGAUCCGAGCGUUAUCCGGAUUUAUUGGGUUUAAAGGGUGCGCAGGCGGGAGAUUAAGUCGGCGGUGAAAUUUUGCAGCUCAACUGUAAAAGUGCCUUCGAAACUGGUUUCCUUGAGUGUGGAUGAAGUAGGCGGAAUUUGUGGUGUAGCGGUGAAAUGCAUAGAUAUCACGAGGAACUCCGAUUGCGCAGGCAGCUUACUAAACCAUAACUGACGCUCAGGCACGAAGGCGUGGGGAUCAAACAGGAUUAGAUACCCCUGUAGU